CCUACGGGAGGCAGCAGUGAGGAAUAUUGGUCAAUGGUCGGGAGACUGAACCAGCCAAGCCGCGUGAGGGAUGAAGGUACAGAGUAUCGUAAACCUCUUUUGUCAGGGAACAAAGGCGGGGACGUGUCCCCGGAUGAGUGUACCUGAAGAAAAAGCAUCGGCUAACUCCGUGCCAGCAGCCGCGGUAAUACGGGGGAUGCGAGCGUUAUCCGGAUUUGUUGGGUUUCAAGGGGGCGCAGGCGGCCUGUUACGUCAGCGGUCAAAGCCCGGGGCUGAACCCCGGCCCGCCGUUGAAACUGGCAGUCUCGAGUUGGAGAGAAGUAUGCGGAAUGCGCGGUGUAGCGGUGAAAUGCAUAGAUAUCGCGCAGAACUCCGAUUGCGAAGGCAGCAUGCCGGCUCCACACUGACGCUGAGGCACGAAAGCGUGGGUAUCGAACAGGAUUAGAUACCCCUGUAGUC
rnacentral:rRNA from 1 species